UGGGGAAUUUUGGACAAUGGGCGAAAGCCUGAUCCAGCAAUGCCGCGUGUGUGAAGAAGGCCUUCGGGUUGUAAAGCACUUUUGUCCGGAAAGAAAUCCUUGGCUCUAAUACAGUCGGGGGAUGACGGUACCGGAAGAAUAAGCACCGGCUAACUACGUGCCAGCAGCCGCGGUAAUACGUAGGGUGCAAGCGUUAAUCGGAAUUACUGGGCGUAAAGCGUGCGCAGGCGGUUUGCUAAGACCGAUGUGAAAUCCCCGGGCUCAACCUGGGAACUGCAUUGGUGACUGGCAGGCUAGAGUAUGGCAGAGGGGGGUAGAAUUCCACGUGUAGCAGUGAAAUGCGUAGAGAUGUGGAGGAAUACCGAUGGCGAAGGCAGCCCCCCUGGGCCAAUACUGACGCUCAUGCACGAAAGCGUGGGGAGCAAAACAGGAUUAGAUACCCCUGGUAGUCCACGCCCUAAAACGAUGUCAACUAGUUGUUGGGGAUUCAUUUCCUUAGUAACGUAGCUAACGCGUGAAGUUGACCGCCUGGGGAGUACGGUCGCAAGAUUAAAACUCAAAGGAAUUGACGGGGUCAUAGCUGUUUCCU
rnacentral:rRNA from 1 species